rnacentral:rRNA from 1 species
UACAGAGGUCCCGAGCGUUGUUCGGAUUCACUGGGCGUAAAGGGUGCGUAGGUGGUGACGUAAGUCGGAUGUGAAAUCUCGGAGCUCAACUCCGAAACUGCAUUCGAUACUGCCGUGCUUGAGGAAUGGAGAGGAGACUGGAAUUUACGGUGUAGCGGUGAAAUGCGUAGAUAUCGUAAGGAAGACCAGUGGCGAAGGCGGGUCUCUGGACAGUUCCUGACGCUGAGGCACGAAGGUCAGGGGAGCAAACGGG